AUUGAACGCUGGCGGCAGGCCUAACACAUGCAAGUCGAGCGGAUGAAGGGAGCUUGCUCCUGGAUUCAGCGGCGAACGGGUGAGUAAUGCCUAGGAAUCUGCCUGGUAGUGGGGGAUAACGCCCGGAAACGGGCGCUAAUACCGCAUACGUCCUGAGGGAGAAAGAGGGGGAUCUUCGGACAUCACGCUAUCAGAUGAGCCUAGGUCGGAUUAGCUAGUUGGUGGGGUAAAGGCCUACCAAGGCGACGAUCCGUAACUGGUCUGAGAGGAUGAUCAGUCACACUGGAACUGGGACACGGUCCAGACUCCUACGGGAGGCAGCAGUGGGGAAUAUUGGACAAUGGGCGAAAGCCUGAUCCAGCCAUGCCGCGUGUGUGAAGAAGGUCUUCGGAUUGUAAAGCACUUUAAGUUGGGAGGACGGGCAGUAAGUUAAUACCUUGCUGUUUUGACGUUACCAACAGAAUAAGCACCGGCUAACUUCGUG
rnacentral:rRNA from 1 species